AGCAGCCGCGGUAAUUCCAGCUCCAAUAGCGUAUAUUAAAGUUGUUGCAGUUAAAAAGCUCGUAGUUGAAUUUCGAGACCGGCUUACUGGUCGUGCUAUUGUACGUACUGGUAUAAUCGGUUUCUCCUUUCUGACGAACUAUAAUGCCAUUAAUUUGGUGUUUUAGGGAAUCAGGACUGUUACUUUGAAAAAAUUAGAGUGUUUAAAGCAGGCUCACGCUUGAAUACAUUAGCAUGGAAUAACGGAAUAGGACGUUUGAUUCUAUUUUGUUGGUUUCUAGGAUCGACGUAAUGAUUAAUAGGGAUAGUUGGGGGCAUUAGUAUUCAAUUGUCAGAGGUGAAAUUCUUGGAUUUAUUGAAGACUAACUACUGCGAAAGCAUUUGCCAAGGAUGUUUUCAUUAAUCAAGAACGAAAGUUAGGGGAUCGAAGACGAUCAGAUACCGUCGUAGUCUUAACCAUAAACUAUGCCGACUAGGGAUCGGAUGAUGUUAAUUUUUUAAUGACUCAUUCGGCGCCUUACG
rnacentral:rRNA from 1 species